rnacentral:rRNA from 1 species
CCUACGGGGGGCAGCAGUAGGGAAUAUUGCUCAAUGGGGGAAACCCUGAAGCAGCAACGCCGCGUGAAGGAUGAAGGUUUUCGGAUUGUAAACUCCUUUUGUUAGAGAAGAUAAUGACGGUAUCUAACGAAUAAGCACCGGCUAACUCCGUGCCAGCAGCCGCGGUAAUACGGAGGGUGCAAGCGUUACUCGGAAUCACUGGGCGUAAAGGGCGCGUAGGCGGGAUAGCAAGUCAGAUGUGAAAUCCUAUGGCUUAACCAUAGAACUGCAUUUGAAACUGUUAUUCUAGAGUAUGGGAGAGGUAGGUGGAAUUCUUGGUGUAGGGGUGAAAUCCGUAGAGAUCAAGAGGAAUACUCAUUGCGAAGGCGACCUGCUAGAACAUAACUGACGCUGAUGCGCGAAAGCGUGGGGAGCAAACAGGAUUAGAUACCCCGGUAGUC